rnacentral:rRNA from 1 species
AUUGAACGCUGGCGGCAGGCUUAACACAUGCAAGUCGAGCGGGGUGAUGGUGCUUGCACUAUCACUUAGCGGCGGACGGGUGAGUAAUGCUUAGGAAUCUGCCUAUUAGUGGGGGACAACAUCUCGAAAGGGAUGCUAAUACCGCAUACGUCCUACGGGAGAAAGCAGGGGAUCACUUGUGACCUUGCGCUAAUAGAUGAGCCUAAGUCGGAUUGGCUAGUUGGUGGGGUAAAGGACUACCAAGGCGACGAUCUGUAGCGGGUCUGAGAGGAUGAUCCGCCACACUGGGACUGAGACACGGCCCAGACUCCUACGGGAGGCAGCAGUGGGGAAUAUUGGACAAUGGGGGGAACCCUGAUCCAGCCAUGCCGCGUGUGUGAAGAAGGCCUUAUGGUUGUGAAGCACUUUAAGCGAGGAGGAGGCUCUUUUGGUUAAUACCCAAGAUGAGUGGACGUUACUCGCAGAAUAAGCACCGGCUAACUCUGUGCCAGCCGCCGCGGUAA